UACGUAGGUGGCAAGCGUUGUCCGGAAUUAUUGGGCGUAAAGCGCGCGCAGGUGGUUUCUUAAGUCUGAUGUGAAAGCCCACGGCUCAACCGUGGAGGGUCAUUGGAAACUGGGGAACUUGAGUGCAGGAGAGAAGAGUGGAAUUCCACGUGUAGCGGUGAAAUGCGUAGAGAUGUGGAGGAACACCAGUGGCGAAGGCGGCCAUCUGGACGGAUACUGACGCUGAGACGCGAAAGCGUGGGGAGCAAACAGG
rnacentral:rRNA from 1 species